rnacentral:rRNA from 1 species
AUUGAACGCUGGCGGCAGGCCUAACACAUGCAAGUCGAGCGGCUGAAGGGAGCUUGCUCCUGGAUUCAGCGGCGGACGGGUGAGUGAUGCCUAGGAAUCUGCCUGGUAGUGGGGGCUAACGUCCGGAGACGGGCGCUAAUACCGCAUACGUCCUGACGGAGAAAGGGGGGGAGCUUCGGACCUCCCGCUAUCAGAUGAGCCUAGGUCGGAUUAGCUAGUUGGUGGGGUAAAGGCCUACCAAGGCGACGAUCCGUAACUGGUCUGAGAGGAUGAUCAGUCACACUGGAACUGAGACACGGUCCAGACUCCUACGGGAGGCAGCAGUGGGGAAUAUUGGACAAUGGGCGAAAGCCUGAUCCAGCCAUGCCGCGUGUGUGAAGAAGGUCUUCGGAUUGUAAAGCACUUUAAGUUGGGAGGAAGGGCAGUAAGUCAAUACCUUGCUGUUUUGACGGUACCAACAGAAUAAGCACCGGCUAACUUCGUG